rnacentral:rRNA from 1 species
GACGAACGCUGGCGGCGUGCCUAAUACAUGCAAGUCGAACGAAGCUGUUUUAACUGGCGCUUGCACCGACUUAAACAACUGAGUGGCGAACGGGUGAGUAACACGUGGGUAACCUGCCCCAAAGCGGGGGAUAGCAUUUGGAAACAGAUGCUAAUACCGCAUAACCACAGAAACCACAUGGUUUCUGUGUCAAAGAUGGUUUCGGCUAUCACUUUGGGAUGGACCCGCGGCGUAUUAGCUAGUUGGUAAGGUAAUGGCUUACCAAGGCAAUGAUACGUAGCCGAACUGAGAGGUUGAUCGGCCACAUUGGGGCUGAGACACGGCCCAAACUCCUACGGGAGGCAGCAGUAGGGAAUCUUCCACAAUGGACGAAAGUCUGAUGGAGCAACGCCGCGUGAGUGAAGAAGGUUUUCGGAUCGUAAACUCUGUUGUCAGAGAAGAACGUGUGCGAGAGUAACUGUUCGUGCAGUGACGGUAUCUGGCCAGAAAGCCACGGCUAACUACGUGCCAGCAGCCGCCGCAG